GAUGAACGCUGGCGGCGUGCUUAACACAUGCAAGUCGAACGGAAAGGCCAGUGCUUGCACUGGUACUCGAGUGGCGAACGGGUGAGUAACACGUGGGUGAUCUGCCCUGCACUUCGGGAUAAGCCUGGGAAACUGGGUCUAAUACCGGAUAGGACAAUGGUUUGGAUGCCGUUGUGGAAAGUUUUUUCGGUGUGGGAUGAGCUCGCGGCCUAUCAGCUUGUUGGUGGGGUAAUGGCCUACCAAGGCGUCGACGGGUAGCCGGCCUGAGAGGGUGUACGGCCACAUUGGGACUGAGAUACGGCCCAGACUCCUACGGGAGGCAGCAGUGGGGAAUAUUGCACAAUGGGCGCAAGCCUGGUGCAGCGACGCCGCGUGGGGGAUGACGGCCUUCGGGUUGUAAACUCCUUUCGCUAGGGACGAAGCGUAUUUGUGACGGUACCCGGAGAAGAAGCACCGGCUAACUACGUG
rnacentral:rRNA from 1 species